GAGUUUGAUCGUGGCUCAGAUUGAACGCUGGCGGCAGGCCUAACACAUGCAAGUCGAGCGGAUGACGGGAGCUUGCUCCUUGAUUCAGCGGCGGACGGGUGAGUAAUGCCUAGGAAUCUGCCUGGUAGUGGGGGACAACGUUUCGAAAGGAACGCUAAUACCGCAUACGUCCUACGGGAGAAAGCAGGGGACCUUCGGGCCUUGCGCUAUCAGAUGAGCCUAGGUCGGAUUAGCUAGUUGGUGGGGUAAUGGCUCACCAAGGCGACGAUCCGUAACUGGUCUGAGAGGAUGAUCAGUCACACUGGAACUGAGACACGGUCCAGACUCCUACGGGAGGCAGCAGUGGGGAAUAUUGGACAAUGGGCGAAAGCCUGAUCCAGCCAUGCCGCGUGUGUGAAGAAGGUCUUCGGAUUGUAAAGCACUUUAAGUUGGGAGGAAGGGCAGUAAGUUAAUACCUUGCUGUUUGACGUUACCGACAGAAUAAGCACCGGCUAACUCUGUGCCAGCCGCCG
rnacentral:rRNA from 1 species